GACGAACGCUGGCGGCGUGCUUAACACAUGCAAGUCGAACGGAAAGGCCCUGCUUUUGUGGUGUGCUCGAGUGGCGAACGGGUGAGUAACACGUGAGUAACCUGCCCUUGACUUUGGUAUAACUUCAGGAAACUGGGGCUAAUACCGUAUAGGAGCUCCUGCUGCAUGGUGGGGGUUGGAAAGUUUCGGCGGUUGGGGAUGGACUCGCGGCUUAUCAGCUUGUUGGUGGGGUAGUGGCUUACCAAGGCUUUGACGGGUAGCCGGCCUGAGAGGGUGACCGGCCACAUUGGGACUGAGAGACGGCCCAGACUCGUACGGGAGGCAGCAGUGGGGAAUAUUGCACAAUGGGCGGAAGCCUGAUGCAGAAACGCCGCGUGCGGGAUGACGGCCUUCGGGUUGUAAACCGCUUUCGCCUGUGACGAAGCGUGAGUGACGGUAAUGGGUAAAGAAGCACCGGCUAACUACGUG
rnacentral:rRNA from 1 species